UGCUCCGAUCUUCUAAAAAAAACCAGCUCAGUGUGUCAGGGCUUAAAUUUAACAAAUAGCAGUAACUAAACGCGUUUGACAUUGCAAUGUGACACUGACAUGAGUGACAUUGACUUUUAGAAACAAAAAUCUGAAAAAUCUUAAUCACCAAAAAAUAAACAUUCUUUAUCAAAUAUUAUGAGUUUCAAAAAAUAAUAUAGUAAUAUUCAAGUAUAUUUCUUUAAAAUGUCAGCGAAAACUGAGGAAACCCCUCGCGACUGUUUUGGCUGCAGAAUUGUCGGAGCUGUGGGCCUGAUCGGCAUUGGAGGUUAUCUUGCAAAUUUAGCAUUUAAAAACAAAACGCUGCCUGGAAGAAUACUAGUUUCUACUUUUUCCCUUACAUUUGUGAGUCUCGGCAUAGCAAGAUAUAAACAGACUUUCCCAUUUGAAAAGAGAUCAUCACAGGCUGUGGAAUGGAAAUCAUAAAACUUUAUAGCUUUAUUAUUAUUUAGUCUUUAUUAAUGUAAGGUGAAAUAUAAUAUGUAGAUUAAAAA